rnacentral:rRNA from 1 species
UACGGGGGGAGCAAGCGUUGUUCGGAUUUACUGGGCGUAAAGGGCGCGUAGGCGGCGCAACAAGUCACUUGUGAAAUCUCCGGGCUUAACCCGGAGCGGCCAAGUGAUACUGUCGUGCUAGAGUGCGGAAGGGGCUACUGGAAUUCUCGGUGUAGCGGUGAAAUGCGUAGAUAUCGUAAGGAAGACCAGUGGCGAAGGCAGGUCUCUGGGCCACUACUGACGCUGAGAAGCGAAAGCAUGGGGAGCGAACAGG